AGUUCCUGUUGCAAGUAAUGUCAGCAAAAAUCAACAAUUUCAUCCAUCUGCUUUGAGGGCAACUGUAAACCAACCUUCCACCGGAAGAGUUCCUGUUGCAAGUAAUGUCAGCAGAAAUCAACAAUUGCAUCCAUCUGCUUUGAUGACAACUGUGAACCAACCUUCAACCGGAAGAGUUCCUGUUGCAGGUAAUGUCAGCCAAAAUCAACAAAUGAAUCCAUCUGCUUUGAGGACAACUGUGAACCAACCUUCGACCGGAAGAGUUCCUGUUGCAAAUAAUGUCAGCCAAAAUCAACAAAUGCAUCCAUCUAUUAUGGCUGCAC
rnacentral:lncRNA from 1 species